rnacentral:rRNA from 1 species
GAUGAACGCUGGCGGCGUGCCUAAUACAUGCAAGUCGAGCGAACAGACGAGGAGCUUGCUCCUCUGAUGUUAGCGGCGGACGGGUGAGUAACACGUGGAUAACCUACCUAUAAGACUGGGAUAACUUCGGGAAACCGGAGCUAAUACCGGAUAAUAUAUUGAACCGCAUGGUUCAAAAGUGAAAGACGGUUUUGCUGUCACUUAUAGAUGGAUCCGCGCUGCAUUAGCUAGUUGGUAAGGUAACGGCUUACCAAGGCAACGAUGCGUAGCCGACCUGAGAGGGUGAUCGGCCACACUGGAACUGAGACACGGUCCAGACUCCUACGGGAGGCAGCAGUAGGGAAUCUUCCGCAAUGGGCGAAAGCCUGACGGAGCAACGCCGCGUGAGUGAUGAAGGUCUUCGGAUCGUAAAACUCUGUUAUUAGGGAAGAACAAAUGUGUAAGUAACUAUGCACAUCUUGACGGUACCUAAUCAGAAAGCCACGGCUAACUACGUG